AUUGAACGCUGGCGGCAGGCCUAACACAUGCAAGUCGAGCGGAUGAAGGGAGCUUGCUCCUGGACUCAGCGGCGGACGGGUGAGUAAUGCCUAGGAAUCUGCCUGGUAGUGGGGGAUAACGUCCGGAAACGGGCGCUAAUACCGCAUACGUCCUGAGGGAGAAAGUGGGGGAUCUUCGGACCUCACGCUAUCAGAUGAGCCUAGGUCGGAUUAGCUAGUUGGUGGGGUAAAGGCCUACCAAGGCGACGAUCCGUAACUGAUCUGAGAGGAUGAUCAGUCACACUGGAACUGAGACACGGUCCAGACUCCUACGGGAGGCAGCAGUGGGGAAUAUUGGACAAUGGGCGAAAGCCUGAUGCAGCCAUGCCGCGUGUGUGAAGAAGGUCUUCGGAUUGUAAAGCACUUUAAGUUGGGAGGAAGGGCAGUAAGUUAAUACCUUGCUGUUUUGACGUUACCAACAGAAUAAGCACCGGCUAACUUCGUG
rnacentral:rRNA from 1 species